AGGACUGUCACCUCUUGUAGCCGACCCUUCUUUAUUAUUUGUGGAAAAUUCUCCAUGUCUACAUCUGGAAUUGCUCAAAGAUCAACUUCAGAGAGCCACCAUCAAAUUGAGAGAAAAAGACAGGCAGUGAAGAAAACAAAGGGCUACUGGAGAUUUGAGAACUAGGUAUGUAAAAGCAUGGGUGUGGUUCCUGGCAUGUGGAGCCGACUGGAAACAAAUAGAGAAGAAGCCUCUUAAGUGUUUGAGAGAAGUGUACUGCCAAAGAAACCACAAACCUGGCCUGAAGGGGCCUUUGACUGUAGAAGCUGAAAAUGGCCUUUGUGCUCAGAAGCUUAAGUGAAGAAGGAGCCUGAGGAGGCUGCUAAUACAGCCCUGAGACUUAUUUCCAGAUACAAUCAAAGAAGGCAAUGAGGAGAAAAAGAACUGCCAAAGGGUGGAUGUUGAAGACACACACAGGCAGUCUUUACCAUCUGAGCCAGCAGGAAUUGUCUUCUUUCUAAAAUAAAGAUUGGAGUGAACCACUUAAAUAAGAAACCAAAGCUGCUCACAAUAAAGACUACUUAAUACAGGCUAACCUAGGAGAGUGCUGAGAAGUCCUGUUUGCAAAUUCUGCUCCCCUGAAACUGACUCUUAUGCCCCCAGAAUUGUUCUGAAAUUGUGAGAGGAAGAAAACUGCUUAAAAUUCCCAGGUGGCGCUAUUGGUAAAGAACCCACCUGCCAAUGCAGGAGACAUAAAGAGAUGUCAGUUCAACCUUGGAUUGGGCACAUCCCCUGGAAAAGGGAAUGGCAACCCACGCCAGCAAUCUUGCCUGGAAAACCCCAUCGACAGAG